rnacentral:lncRNA from 1 species
UUUGUUUAUUUAUUUUUCCUUGUUUCCCUUAUUUAUUUUUGGUGAGACGACUCAUUCUCUGUUGUUGUAUCUAUCUUGAGUAGAAAAAGGCACUUUAAGUUAGGCAAUGUGACACGACUUAAGUGAGCUCAAAAUGCUUAUUUUAAAAUAAAGCACAAAAACAACGUUUGAAAAUCGUGGACUGACUUGCUGCCUUUUUAUUUUCUUUUUAAUUUCAUCUCGGUUAUCCUUUUUCCUCUCCCGAGCAGCUAGAAGGCUUCCACGAAGCUUCCUCCGCCAUUCCCCCUUGGCAAGUAUCUCCAGGCGUACAAAGCUGUGCACUGGAGGCAGCAGCAUAAUGGUCUAUCAUUUCACAUGAUUUAAUAACAAUCCUUAAAGCAAGAAGAAGCUGUCCAUAACUUUCAUGUGUCUUUUCCUUGGCUGCCAGUUUUUCGUUUUCUAAUAUCUACGG